rnacentral:miRNA from 1 species
AAUACGAAGCCUCUGAAAUUUU